rnacentral:lncRNA from 1 species
ACCAAUCUUAAUUGAGUCAAAUUCUUUCAAAUAAUUAUCUUGAUUUUUAGUUUCACUGUCAUUGACUGAACAGCUUUGAUGAUAAUUGGUAUCAACAUUUGUUUCCAAUUCCUGUGAAGUUCUGCUUUUCUUGGCUUGCUGUUGAACACCAGUUUCAUUUGCUCGUUUUUUUUCUUUUAUCAUGUUUUCUUCUAUUUUCAAGUCUAAGUUGUUUUACAAAGUUUGGCUCUGUGGCUUGUUUUGUUUUUUGACUUUCCCUGACAUUUCUAAGUCUUAAUUGUCUUUCUGAUUCAGUCUCAGCUGCUCGUUUAAUUUUUUGAUACGUUCUAUCAUUAUCCAGUCGCUUUUGUUUGUGAGGUUCUGGUUCCUCAGACCCGAAUUGUUCAACAGUUACCCCCUUUAUUUCAAACGGUAUUGCAUCUCCUGGAGGAACAGUGUUUUGAAGAUAGGUUGUAAGGUUAUGUAUAUCUUCAACUGAAAUUAACACACAUUUUCCGAAUGGGUGUGGUAUGCCAUAUGAAUCUCUUGAAUGAAAAUCAAAAAUUCUAAAAUUACCUUCAGAAGUUUUAAAAAUUGCAAUAGUGUUGCAAUUUAU